rnacentral:rRNA from 1 species
AGUUGGAGCGAACCCUACCGCCUUACCUCACACAGGCAGAUUGAUAGCUAGUCCGAGUGCUCUCUGGUGGCGAGGUGGCGUACGGGUGAGUAAACUAUCGGAACGUGCUCGGUAAAGGGGGGAUAAACUACGGGAAAAGGGUAGCUAAUCUCGUCAUCAUGCCCUCAAGGGACAAAAGCAGGGGAUUUUUUGGGCCUUUCACUUAUCAGAUGGGCCCCAGAUCGGGAUUAGCUAGUUGGGGGGGGUAACGGCUCACCAAGGCGACGAUCCGUAGCUGGUCUGAGAGGGAUGAUCAGCCCACACUGGAAACUGAGACACGGCCCAGACUCCUACGGGAGGCAGCAGUGGGGAAUCUUGCACAAUGGGCGAAAGCCUGAUCCAGCCAUCCCGCGUGUGUGAUGAAGGCCUUCGGGUUGUAAAGCACUUUUGUCAGGGAAGAACAAGUGCUGGUUAAUACCCCGAGCAAUUGACGGUACCUGCAGAAUAAGCACCGGCUAACUACGUGCCAGCAGCCGCGGUAAUACGUAGGGUGCAAGCGUUAAUCGGAAUUACUGGGCGUAAAGCGCGCGCAGGCGGUUCGUAAAGUCAGAUGUGAAAUCCCCGGGCUCAACCUGGGAACUGCAUUUUUAACUCCGGGCUGGAGUGUGGUAGAGGGGGGUGGAAUUCCGGGUGUAGCGGUGAAAUGCGUAGAUAUUCGGAGGAACACCGAUGGCGAAGGCAGCCUCCUGGCUAACACUGACGCUC